UAGUAGUUAUAUAAAGAUUUAAAAGAAAUCUUUCAUAAAGAUGCAAAAGAAAAUAAUUGCUGUGUAUUUUGACUGCCUUUGUGGUGGCCCAAAUAGAGCUGGGAAAUAAAUCU